rnacentral:misc_RNA from 1 species
GAUGAAGAACGUAGCGAAAUGCGAUACGUAAUGUGAAUUGCAGAAUUCAGUGAAUCAUCGAGUCUUUGAACGCACAUUGCGCCCCCUGGUAUUCCGGGGGGCAUGCCUGUCCGAGCGUCAUUGCUGCCCUCAAGCACGGCUUGUGUGUUGGGCCUCCGUCCUCCUCCCGGGGGACGGGCCCGAAAGGCAGCGGCGGCACCGCGUCCGGUCCUCGAGCGUAUGGGGCUUCGUCACCCGCUCUUGUAGGUCCGGCCGGCGCUUGCCGACACAUCAAUCUUUUUUCCAGGUUGACCUCGGAUCAGGUAGGGAUACCCGCUGAACUUAAGCAUAUCAAUAAGCUGAGGA